CUCUAUUGACACAUCAAAAUAAAUGAUUUCCUAAAUUCCACUUCUGAAUUGCAUAACUCCUACAGAGUGUAAUGGGGCACCAGGCUGUCCUGUUGUUAUUAACAGAAUGUCCCUAAGUCACCUGGUUUAGAAACAGUCUCUCAGAAAAACAAAAAACAAAACCCACAGUCCAGACACGGAGUGGCUACAGGUCACGUUGCUUUAGUGGCUCUGUGACGUCAUUCCGACCUUCUGUCGUCAUGACUACAGGGUAUACAUGGUUGGCAGUCAUCAUCAGGCACCGCAUCCAGACAAGGUUAUGUUCACUAAGGCUCUGCUGCUUUGAGGAGACCCUUUCAAGAAAUGACCUUUUCGAACUCUCUGGACUUGGGUCCAAGGUUCUGAGAAAGGCUCACCCCCACAAUGAAAACUUCCCGGGAGCUGCGUCCCAUCAUCUAAGGAGGAAUGCACUCUGACGACAUACGAAAGCCAAGGAGGGAGUGGCAGAAGGCACUGGGUGAAGUCUGCCACAGUCCGCUGUGUGUGCGCUCACUUCCGAGGGACAGGAGAACAGAGCACGGCGGUAACCACAGCACGUACCGUGCUACCCAGCCAUUGAGUUCUACACACGCGUAAGCAUCCACGUGAGACAAGCGAGCCAAUGGCGUGUAGAAAUGACAACACCCUAAGUCUAGUUCUUUGUUGUACAGAGUACAGGAGUGCUAAGGCUAUUCCUCACCUUUACAGACUUCUGGCUUAGUUUAAAAUGAUCUAUUCAGAGUUUUCUAUUUUCUAGAUACAUUCCAUCUUUGCUAUAGUUGCGGGGGAUAACCUGGCUUCUUUACAGAGGAUAGAAUCCUGUGACAAUGACCCAAUGCAUUUGAAAACCCAAGGAAGAAUAUGAGAAAAAGCAUAGUUCAUAACUUCAGUGACAGUGCAUAUGAACAUAAUGACAGGAUGAGGACCUUCCUUAGAACGGGUCUCGCUGUCCUGACUGUUCUGGAACUUGCUGUGUAUGGAACCAUAUGACCUAG
rnacentral:lncRNA from 1 species